GUGGAGAAGAAAGUGAGAAAUGAUGUCAAAACCUGGUGCACAACAUUCUUGAUCUAAAAAUCUCUCACAAAACAUUGUUGCUUUGGGAUCAUUCUCAUCAAUUUUUAUAUCCUUAUCCCUAACAAAGCUAGUAGAACAUUGCUGAUCAGAGAAAUGUAACUCAAAAUUACAAGAGAUAUUAUCUUACCCCAAUUAAAAUGGCUCUUAUUGAAAAGAAAGGCAAUAAAAAAUACUGGUGAGGACGUGGAUAAAAGGGUACAUUUCUCCACUGUUGGUGGGAAUACAAAUUAGUACUACCACUAUUGAGAACACUUUCGAGGUUCCUCCAAAACUAAAACUAGAGCUACCAUAUGGUUCAACAAUCCCACUGCUAGUUAUAUAACCAAAAGAAAGGAAAUCAGUUGAUCAAAGAGAUAUCUGCACUCCUAUGUUUAUUGCAGCACUAUUCAGAAUAGCCAAAAUUGUCUAUUCUCGACAUUUUAAGUAACCUAAGUGUCUAUUAACAGAAGAAUGGAUAAAGAAAAUGUGGUACAUAUACACAAUGGAGUAAAACUCAGCCAUAAAAAAGAAUGAGAUCCUGUCAUUUGCAGCAACAUGGAUGGUACUUGAGGUCAUUAUGUUAAGUGAGAUAAGCCGGGCACAGAAAGACAAACAUUGCAUAUUCUUAAUCAUUUGGGGGAGUUACAAAUGAAAAACUGAACUCAUGGAGACAGUAGAAUGAUGUUUCUCAGAGGCUAGGAAGGGUAGUAGGGAUGGAGGUGGGUGGGCAACUGGGGAUAGUUAAUGGGUACAAAAACAUAGAUAGAAUGAACAUGAUCUAGUAUUUGAUAGCACUACAGGGUGA
rnacentral:lncRNA from 1 species